rnacentral:rRNA from 1 species
UACGUAGGAGGCAAGCGUUGUCCGGAAUUACUGGGUGUAAAGCGCGUGUAGGCGGCAGGCCAAGUCUGUGGUGAAAUCGCUCGGCUCAACUGGGCGGGGUCCAUGGAAACUGGUCAGCUGGAGGACGGUAGAGGUGAGUGGAAUUCCCGGUGUAGUGGUGAAAUGCGUAGAUAUCGGGAAGAACACCCGUGGCGAAGGCGGCUCUCUGGGACGGUACUGACGCUGAGACGCGAAAGCGUGGGGAGCGAACAGG